GGCAACAUUUCUUAUGACGCAAGGAAGUCAGAUGCGGGAUUUACAUACAUAUGCAUUACUUCUGACAGGUGCAUCAGAUAUGCAGCGUAUGCAUGCUUUACAAACUGAAUCUGGGGACAACUGGUCCAAGGAAUAGGCGCAAGAUACCAGAAUGUGUUGUCCGCAGGAUCCGGAACCUGUUCCCAUCAGUCACACAUGCUACUUCCUCUGAAAGGGCUCGCACACUUCGUCAUAAGCGUGACCUCUUGAAUGGUCUUCUAAAGGAAGCUGCUCUCAGGAUCCAUUCCAGCAAGUGGCAGAUGGUUGUCAACGUGAUAAGUCAAAGCAUCCCAUCCAUUUCAUUGAACCUGGAGCAAAAGGCAAACACAAGCAAGCAAGCUGAUCUACGUCAGUCUUACCCCUGGCCUAUGGCACAAAGGCCUUUAUGAGGGCCAUCUCACAUGGUGCAUCAGAGACCAUGCCUCUGCAUAGAAUAAGCCCUUAUCGUCAUUGAUGAUGAUUAUAUUUAUUAAUCAUAUUAAAUAUUUAUUAAUUUGCAUGCAUUAGUGAGAGGCCUGACAAAGACAAGAGCUGCUAAGUCAGCACACAAAUACGAGUGGUGUUCAAGUCAAACCGGGACUUUUUAUUUUUGGCAAAAGUAAAAUGAACUUGCGGGCGAGAAAUUAGUUUUAUUUUUCAAUGUAAUCUCCAGCUACACUAAUGCACUUGUCCCAGCGUUUCACGAGGGCUUGGAUGCCAGCAGCGUAGAAAUCCUUACCGGCGCAUAGCAGCAUGAUUGGACCACAUUCUUGACCUUGUCGUCACAGCUGAAGUGGAGGCCCCCAUGGAACGCUUUCAGUGGCCCGAAGAGCUGGAAAUCGCUGGGCGCGAGGUCUGGACUGUAAGGGGGAUGUGGUAGCAACUUCCAGCCAAGUUCCUGUAAGGUGCGUGUCAUGAGAUGCACGGUAUGCGGGCGUGCAUUGUCCUGUAGGAGGAGGACUCCUUUGGUGAUGAGGCCAGGCCGCUUUUGCUUCAGCGCCUUAUGCACAUCCCUGAGAACCUGGCAGUAAUAUGCACUAUUGAUCGCACUAUAUGCACUAUUGGUAUCAAGACAUGUUAUCUGUCGGUCCUUGAGGAUCAGGCGCUCCACAAGUUGGAUGUUCUCAGGAACUCUGACACUGGGCUCUGAGCCGCCCCGGGCGGGGUCGUGGCAAUAAUAUGCACUAUUGAUGGUGGUACCACUGGGCAGAAAAUCAACAUGAACAAUGCCAGCCUUGUCCCAGAAAUCCGUGGCCAUUACCUUACCUGCAGACGGGGUGCUUGGGAACUUCUUGGGGGCUGGUGAGCCCGGUUGCUUCCACUGUUUUGAUGCGCGUUUAGACUCAGGAGUGAAAUGGUGCACUGACGUCUCAUCGCACAUGAUGAUCCGAUCAAGGAAUGGCUGUCCUUGAGUGUCGAAAUGGUACUUUAGCUUGUGGUGAAUCUGGCCACCACACAUAGAUGGCACCAGGCAAAACCUGUGUCUAGGUCAGAUGUUAGCCUCACGCGAUGUGGGAGGGGCCUUGGCUUGGACAGAUCAAAAACCGUGAGCGCGUGUGAGCGAGAUCAGAGCCUGGAGCAGCUGGCCUCGGAGACUGUGCGUGGAACGACUGGCUUGGAGAACAUUCUCGGUGUAAAGAUUCCAUUAUGUGAGUUAUUAAAUAUCACGUUUCUUUCCGUAUUUUGACUUUGUCUCUGUGCCUCGCUUUCCACGGGAGUCGAAUGGACUGGCUUUGCCCCCGAGAGUGGGAAUAAUAAUAAUUGGGUGUUUACGUCGCGAGACAACUGAGAUCAUGAGCGACGCAAGAGGGUGGGGAUAGGCUCCCACAAAUGGCGCCCAACGCGGGGCCCGAGCUCGUUCGUUCGAUGACGUGGAAGACGCAGCACAUUUCAUUUACUGUUGCUCUAUUUUGAUGUUAGAAAUUUUUUGUUCAUUGUGAUACCGCUGGAUUGUGCUGGUUUGAUCAUUUUGUGUUUUCAUUUCUCCGGCGUAUCUGGUUUUGUCAGGGCAGCACUUUUGCUGUUCAUCUUUUGUUUGAGUGUUGUAGUUGUGUCUGGUGUCCGAGCCCUUACAGCUGAUGGACCGUACGCCUCCACGCAGGUAUAACCUCGGCAGCGGAGCGGCCGGUACACGUCGCCCCGGCGCCUACGGAGCCGAGGGGACCGGCCGACGAUGAGAAGGCACCUGCCGUGCCUCCAUCCCAAGGUACGUCGACUGCGGUAUCUGCAGUGCCGCAGUCAGACACCACAGCAACGGCAGAGCUUCUGUCACGUAUGGCAGAGCUGUGCUCGUUGAUGACGUGACGCCUUGAUACCGCAGUCACAAGCGCCCGUCCGACUGACAAUCCCUGUUCCUACGUUCUCAGGGUACACCGAUAGAAAGUCAGUCGCAGACUUCUUGGAUGACAUUACCGCCUAUCAGGCCGGUAUGGGAAUCUCAGACGAGGUCUUGAUCCUACGUAUCCUGCAGGUUGCUUUGGUAGGAGACGCCGCCCGCUGGCUUCGACUGCAGUCGAGGUUCACGUCCUUGCAGGACUUCAAGCAGCGGUUUAAAAACAAAUUCCUUCCUCCGAUUACGAAUAUCGUAUCCUGGAGGAGCUGCACAAACGUAUUCAGCAUCCAGAUGAGACGUUGGCAGAAUUCGUACGGGUCCUGCAAGAGCUGUACAGCAGAGCAGAACCAACUGCAACAGAGCAGCAGUGAGUAGCAUGGGCUCUCCGUCAGUGCCACCCACGCUUCCGGCCCUACCUUCGAGCCCAUCGCUUUGAUAGUUUUGAAGCGUUGGCGCAGGAGGCUCGUACCAUACAGGGCGACCUCUUAGCCGAACUCGAAUAUCGGCCCCCGCCGUCGCCUGAAUGGGUGUUAGAACCACGCUGUGUGUGGUCAGCAGGAGAAGCCUCGGUCGAACGCCUACGUGCAGUGGGACAGGAUGAGCACCACCGCAAUCCUUAUGCGGAGCCAUCCUGCCGAGCAAGUAAUCCCUUCCGUCAUGGACAGAGGGCGAUCCCCGCAGGAACGAGCCAUGACAGACCCGUCCUGCCUGAUUAUCGUGGUCAACCCGGCAACACAGCUGGCGAAACUACCGACAGGCAGCGGGAACGGCAGCGUCUGCCGCGCCCGCAGCCGCAAAGGUUCGCCGGCUGUUGGAAUUGCGGCAGCCCCGAACAUUUCUGUCGGGACUGCCCGCACCGAGGGUCGAAUACCCGUAAUAUGUCAACGGGAAACUGCCGCAGCCGACGUCCAUGAACGCUCUCUUAACGACGUCGGCUAUCUGCCGAGAGAGUGAACGAACGGUCGCUAGCAGCGGCCUUGAUCAUGCAAAAGCUGGCUCUGCAAGCAACAAGACAACCAAAGGAGAUGCAUUAGCUCCUUUUGCUCUCUGUGUUCGGAAUGACAUUGAGGACAGAGAACCAAAUAUCGCAGUUUGCAUUUCGGGCAGAAACUACAUCGCCCUUAUAGACACGAGAGCUACACUCUCUCUCAUCGGCGACUGUGUUUAUGAGCACUGCCUGCGAAGACAAGUAGUUCUGCAGACUACUGAGGUCACCCUUCGUCUUGCUUCCAAUGACGUCAUUCCAGCACAAUCUGCAGUUGUGCUCUGGCUUUGUUUCGAUGGGGGACGGCGAAAGUAGCGCUUCUUUCACCUUCCUGGCCUGGCAGUUCCCGUUAUCCUGGGCAGGGAUUUCAUCAUCCGGCACAAGUUGGUGCUGGACCUGCCCAAUGGAGGAUACGUAUACCACGGCUCGACAGGGUUCUUCCCCUUCGCCACGGCAGCGGACGAUUGCACGGCACAGCAAGCUGCAGCAGUCUCCACCGAACCAUCUACACUCCCGACUGUCUUGGGGUCAUUCCAUGGUCCUGAGGAGGAGCGCCGUCAGCUUCAACAAGUAUUGCGGUAGUACAACGGUAUCUUUACGGAAAACCCCGGUAAGACGUCUCUGUUACAGCAUAGCAUAGACACGGGUAACGCUAGGCCCUGGCGUUGUAAUCCAAGACCUUUGAGCGUACAUAAUCGUGCUUUGUUAGACGCUGCUCUAGAAGAAAUGCUCCAUACCAGUGCAGUUCAGAGAUCCCAGAGCCCUUGGGCGUUUCCUGUCGUCCUGGCUCCGAAACGUGAUGGUACGGCAAGGCCAAGGUCGCAGUAACUGUAAGGGACUCUUAUCCAUUCCUGUCCAUCGAAUCAAUCAUGUACAGUAGAACCCCUUUGUAGUAAACUCUCUGGGACCAUGAUGAAACUUUACUAGAUCAGGAGUUUUAUUAUAUCAGGUGUGCCAUUGAAUGUAUGGGAUUCUAUCGGGACCGCAGUUCUCGUUUACUAUAAGCAGAGUUUUACUACAAGAGGAGUUACUAUAAAGAGGUUCUACUGUAUUCCCUGGGCAACGCUGCGGUGUUUUCGACGCUUGAUUGUAGCAGAGGGUUCUUGCAGAUCCAAGUAGCCCCGGAGGAUGUCCCGAAGACAGCCUUUACCUGUCAUAGGGGUCUGUUCGAGUUCAUACGGAUGCCUUUAGGUCUGUCUAACUCACCAGCCAGUUUCCUGCGGUUGAUGGACACCGUAUUAGGAGAUGAGAAGUACAAUUUCGCGAUGGCGUACAUGGAUGAUGUCGUAGUGUUUUCCAGAAAUUUUCAGGAACACUUGGAACUAGAGCCCUGCGCGGAUGACAUUUUUGGCAUCCGCAUCCGACCCGCAUCCGCGUAACCGUUACCGCAUCCGAUCCGCAUCCGCAACACACACAACAGUUUACAUCCGCAUCCGAUCCGCUGACCAAAGCGCACCAUCCGCAUCCGAUCCGCAAAAUCCGCACGUUUCGAAGGACGCGUAAAGACCGCCGGAAGCAUAUGUUGGUAUAAUUUCGGAUGCCUUCAUGCUGUCACGGAACGACUCACGACGACCAGCAAAGGUAAACAUUUCAACAAACGCGUUACGGAGAGCCUUCUGUAACGCGUGGAACGCUACCUCGUCGGUGCUAGCGCGGUUCGAGACGCCAGAAUGCCUUCUCUCCCGUCUUUGCCGUGCAUGGUCAAAGGUGAACCCGAGCAUUCGCUCGCUGUCGCAGCGCAAUACAAAUAAAUUGCUGGUGGAAAAAUUACAGCACGCGGUACAUCCGCAUCCGAUCCGCUACCGAUCCGCUGCCUUCGUAUCCGCAUCCGACCCGCAUCCGACCUCGCGCCAUCCGCACCGAUCCGCACACCGCAGAAAGUUCGGAAUUUUCAUCCGAAUCCGCAAGUAUCUUGCGGAUAUCCGCGGAUAUCCGCUUCCAUCCGCGGAUGGUGCAGGGCUCUACUUGGAACACCUGUCAAUCGUCUUUGCAAGGAUGAAGCAGGCGGGGCUAACCAUUAAUCCCCGCAAGGUACAGCUGGCAUCGCCUAGGAUCAGCCUUCUCGGCUUCGUGCUGGACAGAGGCACCAUCAGUCCUAGCGAUGACAAGCUAAAGGCGAUCAUGGAGUUUCCAGUUCCUGGUAACGUAAAAGCCUUGCAGCAUUUUCUAGGUAUGGUUGGUUUUUACCGGCAAUUCAUUCCUAAUUGUGCUCAGUUAGUGCAGCCGCUUAACCAGUUGUUGCGCAAAGACACACGCUGGCAUUGGGGAGAACAGCAGGAACAAUCCUUCCGAGCUCUAUCUCAUGCAAUCGCUAAUACAGCCAGGCUAUAUUUGCCCGACCUAAAUAAACCGUUUGUUGUGCAAACAGAUGCUAGCGAUUAUGGUGUUGGCGCAGUUUUCUUGCAGGAGAAUGACGCUAUUCUCUGUCCAGUGGCUUUUGCAAGUCGCACGCUGAAUCUGGCAGAACGGAACUAUUCCGUCGCGGAAAAGGAGUGCCUGGUGAUCAUCUUCGCUCUCAGGAAGUUUGAUCUCUACCUGGAUGGCUGCAGCGGCUCCACAACCCAGCCGGACGUCUCGCCAAGUGGGCCCUGAAGCUACAAGGCUACUCCUUCAACGUAGAGUACAGGCGGGGCUCCACGAACGUAGUAGCGGACGCACUAUCCCGUGCGCCCCUACCGGAGGGGGAAGAGGUAGGCAACUCCUGGCAGCAGCACAAGUGGCACGGGACGGAUCCUCGUCCUGGGGCACGGUCGUGAGCAGAGAGCAGCUCCUAGACGCUCAGAGAGCGGACGGCCUUUGUCGGCGGGUGUCUCAAUGGUUAGCUGAGCAGGUCUCGGCAGACACCGGGACGUUUGACGGACGGCACGACUCCUAUAUGCUGGGCGAGGAUGGCAUCCUGUUCAGAUACAUACUCCAGGCGGAUGACGACGACGGUACAUCCCCAUUCAGAGUCGUGGUGCCACGUAAGCUGCGUAAGUCUUUCAUAUGUUACUUUCAUGACUCGGCCUUGGCAGGUCACAGCAGUGGCAGGAAAACUUAUGAAAAGUUAUGUCGUGUUGCGACAUGGCCAGGAAUGAGGCAGGACGUAACUAAGUGUGUUCAUACUUGUCCGAUAUGCCAGAGAGCAAAACCUCGUGGUGGUUUACCCCCCGGGCGCUUACAGCUGGUUCAGAGCAAUAGGCCCUGGCAGAUAGUUGCUUGUGAUGUGAUGGGACCUUUUCCUCGUAGUCCUAGAGGUAACCAGUACCUGUUUGUGGUUACUGAUAGUUUCACAAAGUGGGUUGAGCUGUUUGCUCUCAGGACGCUGACUUCCAAAAGAGUAUGGGAAUGACUACUCGACACCUUUUGUCGGUUCGGGUUUCCCGCUCAGCUGAUCACUGACAACGCAACCUACUUUACAAGUAAGGUGUUCUCAGAUUCUUGCGCUGUCUUAGACAUUCAGCACAAGAAGACUUCCCCGUAUCACCCUCAGGCUAAUAUUACCGAUCGGAACCUGAAGAUGAUGUUGGUUGCUUUUACUAGUCAGCACAACCGUUAUUGGGUUCUUCGCCUGACUGAGCUGGCAUUCGCUACACGGACGACGGUCAACAGGUCUACAGGCUUCACCAACUUCGUCCAAGUUCUUGGCAGCUUCGCUCGCAGAUAGGUGGGACGGCCCCUUCGAGACUACGAUGCCUUCCCGUGGGAAGUACUACAGCAGGAGGGCUCCCCCUCCGACACGGUCCUCGCCCGAAGGAGGUGGACCCUCACGCCGUUCCCCGCUCGGAGCCACUUCGGGGACGUCCACGAGGCGGUCGGUAGCCACUUGGACUGUGGUCUCGCAAGGAAGACCGGUUGGCUGGGUGUCACGUUCGAAAUGGAGCUCCCAGCCCAGCCCUGUCUAUGGAGAAAGCCCGUCAAGGGUACAGCCCCCCUUCCGUGGACGAACCUUAGACGAGAGACACCCCUGCGAUCCCCCAAUUCCGCUGUCCGAAGAUGAAGCUCGACAACUCUGUCCCCUGUGCGGUGUACCAGAGCUACAUCCGCGUGCACACCGCCAAGGCCAGCUCCAUCAGUCUAAACUUGAAGCCUCCCGAUCAACCGCCCGUGCAACCACUGACGUCUCAGCUGCCCUCGCCACUCUACGAUGUCACCGUCCUGACCUUCUGAGGGAAACGGGAACCUCUCCCCUCAUGCGCCCACUGGUGCCUACCACUUUCCCAACACCCGGCUCCUCCGUACCUCGGUUCCCGGCUGACAAUCACAUGAACGAUACGGUUCUCGACAUUCCUGAUGAAACUGUAAUGGUGUGAGCUGCUGGGGAUGUGUGACAAUUUUCCACGUUUUAAACUAUCAGAGUUGCAUUUGUAUGCAAUUACUUGUUAACGUAUUGACUUUGUAUUUUUUUGUAUUUUUUCAACAUAUUGUGACUUCUAUUAGAGGAGGGGGUAGUUGUGGUGAAUCCAGCCACCAUACAUAGAUGGCACCAAGCAAAACCUGUGUCUAGGUCAGAUGUUAGCCUCACGCGCUGUGGGAGGUGCCUUGGCUUGGACAGAUAAAAAACCGUGAGCGCGUGUGAGCGAGAUCAGAGCCUGGAGCGGCUGGCCUCGGAGAUGGUGCGUGGAACAACUGGCUUGGAGAAUAUUCUCGGUGUAAAGAUUCCAUUGUGUGAGUUAUUAAA